rnacentral:rRNA from 1 species
GACGAACGCUGGCGGCGUGCUUAACACAUGCAAGUUGAACGGGCAGGUAUGGAAGCUUGCUGAAGUAUCUGUUAGUAGCGGACGGGUGAGUAAUGCAUGAGAAGCUGCCAUUGGGAGGGGGACAACAGUUGGAAACGGCUGCUAAUACCCCAUAUGCCGGAAGGUGAAACGGAGUGAUCCGCCCGAUGAGGUGCUCAUGUCCUAUCAGCUAGUUGGUGAGGUAACGGCUCACCAAGGCGACGACGGGUAGCCGGCCUGAGAGGGUGACCGGCCACACUGGAACUGAGAUACGGUCCAGACUCCUACGGGAGGCAGCAGUGGGGAAUAUUGGGCAAUGGGGGCGACCCUGACCCAGCGACGCCGCGUGAGGGAAGACGGCCUUCGGGUUGUAAACCUCUUUUGUACGGGAAGAAGGAUGUGACGGUACCGUGCGAAUAAGUCCCGGCUAACUACGUGCCAGCCGCCGCCGUAA